rnacentral:lncRNA from 1 species
AAUACUUUUCUUUCAUUGAUCCGCGCCAUUGGGUAGCCUUCCGACUAUACAUUGCUUCAAGUAUUGUGCGAGGUUCUGGAGUCAUCCAUCGCUCACCUCCUGCAAAGUAGAAAUCAGCUCCACUGUUGGCAGGCAUUCUUCCUCAAAGUCGAGGUGCUGGCAGACUCCAAAGCCUUGCGAGAGAGAUAACUUAUGUUGGUUGAGUGAGAAUGAGAAGGAGAGGAGUGAGAAGGUUCAGGAACCAAUUGGAGGCUAGGAGGAGCUGAUCCGUUGAAGACAUUGUUCAGUACCACUGGUGAAUCUGGAAUAGGAUCUGGUACUAGAGGCAAUGGUGAACCUCACUUGAGUGUUUUCUGGAAUAGAGAGAGGCUCCCCGUCAAGUAGCAGCAGCCAAGAUGAGUUAGUAGAGGAAUCACAAGAGAUGAUACCUCUAGAAUGUGAAGCGAGAAGAUGCUUGUACAACUUUUGCUCAUCAAACAAACCA